rnacentral:ncRNA from 1 species
CUGGUUGAUCCUGUUAGUAGUCAUAUGCUUGUCUCAAAGAUUAAGCCAUGCAUGUGUAAGUAUGAACUAAUUUAGAUUGUGAAACUGCAAAUGACUCAUUAAAUCAGUUAUAGUUUGUUUGAUGGUAACUACUACUCGGAUAACCAUAGUAAUUCUAGAGCUAAUACAUGCAACAAACCCCAAAUUUUGGAAAGGAUGCAUUUAUAAGAUAAAAGGCCGACGCGGGCUCUGCCCAUUGCUACGAUAAUUCAUGUUAACUCGAUGGAUCGCAUGGCCAUAGCACCGACGACUCAUCAUUCAAAUUUCUGCCCUAUCAACUUUCGAUGGUAAGAUAGUGGCCUACCAUGGUGGUGAUGAGUGAGGGAGAAUUAGGGUUCAAUUCCGGAAAGAGAGCCUGAGAAACAGCUACCAAAUCCAAUGAAGGCAGCAAGCACGCAAAUUACCCAAUCCUAACACGAGGAGGUAGUAACAAUAAAUAACAAUACUGGACUCAAUUGAGUCUGGUAAUUGGAAUGAGUACAAUCUAAAUCCCUUAACGAAGAUCCAUUGGAGGCCAAGUCUGGUGCUAGCAGCCACGGUAAUUCCAGGUCCAAUAGCGUAUAUU